ACGCUCGACACCUACGGGAGCAGCAGUGGGGAAUAUUGCACAAUGGGGGAAACCCUGAUGCAGCGACGCCGCGUGGAGGAAGAAGGUCUUCGGAUUGUAAACUCCUGUUGUUGGGGAAAAAGNGGAUGGUACCCAACAAGGAAGUGACGGCUAACUACGUGCCGGCAGCCGCGGUAAUCUGAGCGGGCUGGCAAGGC
rnacentral:rRNA from 1 species